UAAAUUACGCGUUGUUUUUUUGAUGUCUUGUAAAUUAAUUAACUUUAUUACGAGCAUGUUAUAUAAUUAUUUCGAAAUAUUCAUAGUAGGUAAUGUUAUGUUAAACAGUCAUCGAUGGCUUUGAUCUAUUAUCUAGUUACGUAAUUACGGCCGCAGUCUGAGAAGGUCUAUGUCUAAUGACUAUAUUAAUACUCUUGGUGAGAUCAUUUUAACUAAACGUUUUUUUUUUUUUUCCAGAUUUAUUGAAUUCAGCGUGUUAUAUUUAUUUAACAUUGAUGGCAGCCGUAUGAUAGUAUAUCGGUAUUUAAUUUUACUUCAAUAAACAAGAAUAACACCUAGAG